AACGCGAAGAACCUUACCUACCCUUGACAUCCUGCGAAUCUGACUGAGAGGUUAGAGUGCCGAAAGGAACGCAGAGACAGGUGCUGCAUGGCUGUCGUCAGCUCGUGUUGUGAGAUGUUGGGUUAAGUCCCGCAACGAGCGCAACCCUUAUCCCUAGUUGCCAUCGGGUCAAGCCGGGCACUCUAGUGAAACCGCGCGGGAUAACCGCGAGGAAGGUGGGGAUGACGUCAAGUCCUCAUGGCCUUUAUGUCCAGGGCUACACACGUGCUACAAUGGUCGGUACAAACCGUCGCAAACCCGCGAGGGGGAGCUAAUCGGAAAAAGCCGGCCUCAGUUCGGAUUGGAGUCUGCAACCCGACUCCAUGAAGCUGGAAUCGCUAGUAAUCGCGGAUCAGAACGCCGCGGUGAAUACGUUCCCGGGCCUUGUACACACCGCUCGCGA
rnacentral:rRNA from 1 species